AUGCAACAAUCCUGCAUGAUCUGCACAUGUACCCCAGAACCUAAAGUACAAUUAAAAAAAAGAAAAAGGUAUCACUCAAUAAAUGUUAGUUGUCAUUUUUACUACUACUGAAAACAUUUUGAAGCCGCAUAAUGUAUUUAUAUUCCACAAUUAAACACAUGUAUUUCAUAUAGCAGUCACAUGGGUUGGUUGGCUGGUUGAUUGACAAUGUUCCUUGAUGUCCGAAACCAUGUCUUUUUCUUUUUAUAGAUCAAAACUGCAACAGAAUUUCCAGAUAGCACCAAGUAACAGAACUAAAUUGACACAUAUACCUAUGGAACUAAAAGAUACCAGAUUUUCAAAGUUAUGCCAAAUCUAAGUAAGGAACUUAGUAUAGAAAUUUUUAUAAAAGACGUCGUCUUCCAUCCUCUUGAAGACACCUUUGUUAGAUUGAAAGGAGCUACAUAUUCUUUGCCAUUCUUUGCCAUUUAUUCUAAUUAUCAAUAUAGACUAUUGCCCCUCCUCUUAGAUCUGGAUGGUCCUGUGAUUGGUUUUGAGUGAUAGAAUACAGCAGAAGAGAUGCUGUGGUAAUUCUGAGGCAGGGUCCUAAAAGAUCUGCACGCUCUGCCUUCACAUCUUGAAAUAUUUCUUUUUGGAAUCACCAUGCUCUCCAAAGCCCAAAUAAACUGGGAAAAGGCCAUAUGAGAGGAGCGAAGACAUGUCGUUUGUUCAUCCCCAGACAAGCACCCACCUGCAACCAACAACUGCCAGCGUAUCAGCCAGCUGUCUUGAGUGUUUCAGCCCCAAUCAAUCCUCCAGGCUUUCAGAGAUGAAAAUCUGUUGGAUGACACGCAGCUUACCCUUUCAAAGUUCCUCAAGGACCCCGGGGAAUGCAGCCAUCUGGAAUUUGCUGUCAUGCUGUGAUUUCUGCAGUAUUUAAAGCUGAAAAUCUUCAGAACAACCAUGAGCGGCUGUGGAGAACGCAAGCUGGAAGCAAAAAUUAUGAGAUGAAUCUUUCAAGCUAAGAUGUCUCAGAGCUUGCGUGUCAGAAAUCACCAAAGAUAUUGGGGCACAUCCUCUUGCAAUGGCAAGCACUGGGGCAAGGGAGGAGAGCUGACAAAAUACAUAAGCCAUGACAAGCAAACAGAAGAAACAGAAGGUUAACUUAUGGCCAUCAACAAAUUCUAGAGCCACUUUUUAACAGUGUUUAGGCAAUAUGAAGACAUGUGAACCAGAAGUCAUUUUAAGUAGGAAAAUGUGGGAUAAACAACUUUAGCAAUGCUUUAAAUUUAAAUUGCUUAAUCUUAUGUCUGGAAACUUUUAAAUCAAAAAACAUUGUUUAACCUAAAAAACUAAUUGUUACCAUCAAUUAUCAAAUACAGUUUCUCCUCUCAUUUCAUCCAUACAAGCAGUAGAAAAUAAUAGAAGUGCUGUUAUUUUUUUUCAGUUCUAAGGUGUAUAAAUUACAAAUUUUCUGGUUUAACUUUCCUUGUAGCAUAUAUUGUGAAAUCUAGAUUAUAUUUCAUUUGAUGUAUUUUGUUGAUAGAUCAGAGUGACACAAAUGCAGAGAAACAAAAUCUAGAGCCCAUAGAAAUCCUGAAGAGGAGGUUGAAGACUAAGGAUUACAUUAGAGCAUAUCCUACUGGGUAAAUGUUGGAUUCAUAGAGACAGGGAAGAGUGGUAGGAUGUAUAAGCUAAGAGGUUUAAAUAACUCAACGUAACAUUAAUAUAUAUUUUCAGACAUAUAAUAAGUCAAAUUAAGUGCAUUAUGGAGCAUUAUCAUAGCAAGCAGUGCUCACUAGUUUAAACAACCAAUUGUCACAAGUCUUAAGAUAUGUUAUUAUACUUUCAAAUAUUUAAACAUAAUAUUCUCCCAUAAGUUGAC
rnacentral:lncRNA from 13 species